UUUACUUUCAUCAACAUUUUAGUUGCCUUUUUUUUAUUUAAAAAAAAUAACAACUUGGCUGAAUACCUUAUGCCAAAGUCAUAACAGAGAAUUGAAACUGGUAUAUCGAAAGGAAGAGGCAGGUGUUUUGCAGUUGGCAUUUACCUUUGUCUACAUGCACUUUUAAGUCCAGAUAGGCCACAGCUGAGCUGGCGAGCACAAGCAAACAGAUUGCUCUUCCGAAUCCUGAAGCCAGUAUCAGGAUGUCCUUCCACAGAAAAGCGACAAUGUUUUCAUGAAUGUGGACUUGGUCAAAUACUGCAUAUAUAUUAGUAGGCCAGCAUUUAUUAUAAUUUGUCAGUAUGGAUUGAUGUUUUAAAUAGCCAUUGGAGUUGACUUUUAAGCCUACCAUUACCAUGAUAACUGUGACUGCAUAUCAGAAUUGGAAUUAAUUUUGUCUUAUCUUAAUGUUAACAUACAGUUAGCCUACCGUGCAUGUUUUCAUUCAAAGGACACAGCUUUCAAUAAAGUUCAUCACAUUGAGCUAGCACUUGAUAACAACUGUUGUGCUAUUCUUGGUAUGUGAGACUUAUCUGCUGCAUUUGAAGUUAUUGACCAGCUGAUUCUGAUUGAACAUCUUGAAUA